UAGGGAAUAUUGGACAAUGGGCGAAAGCCUGAUCCAGCAAUGCCGCGUGAGCGAUGAAGGCCUUAGGGUUGUAAAGCUCUUUUACCCGAGAAGAUAAUGACGGUAACCGGAGAAGAAGCCCCGGCUAACUUCGUGCCAGCAGCCGCGGUAAUACGAAGGGGGCUAGCGUUGUUCGGAUUUACUGGGCGUAAAGCGCACGUAGGCGGACUUUUAAGUCAGGGUGAAAUCCCAGAGCUCAACUCUGGAACUGCCUUUGAUACUGGAAGUCUUGAGUAUGGUAGAGGUGAGUGGAAUUCCGAGUGUAGAGGUGAAAUUUCGUAGAUAUUCGGAGGAACACCAGUGGCGAAGGCGGCUCACUGGACCAUUACUGACGCUGAGGUGCGAAAGCGUGGGGAGCAAACAGGAUUAGAUACCC
rnacentral:rRNA from 1 species